UGAGCUGACGCUCGGAAGGUGUCUUGAGAUUAUCAUCCGCUGAGGGUGGAAGCGGCCCCCGCAGACGCUCGGCAGGUGUCUUGAGAUUAUCAUCUGCUGAGGGUGGAAGCGGCCCCCGCAGACGCUCGGCAGGUGUCUUGAGAUUAUCAUCUGCUGAGGGUGGAAGCGGCCCCCGCAGACGCUCGGCAGGUGUCUUGAUAUUAUCAUCUGCUGAGGGUGGAGCUGAGGGUGGAAGGGGAGUGAGCUGACGCUCGGAAGGUGUCUUGAGAUUAUCAUCCGCUCAGGGUGGAAGCGGCCCCCGCAGACGCUCGGCAGGUGUCUUGAUAUUAUCAUCUGCUGAGGGUGGAAGGGCAGUGAGCUGACGCUCGGAAGGUGUCUUGAGAUUAUCAUCCGCUGAGGGUGGAAGGGGAUGGAGCAGACACUCGGCACGUGUCUUGAGAUUAUCAUCCGCUGAGGGUGGAGCUGAGGGUAGAGCUGAGGGUGGAAGGGGAGUGAGCAGACACUCGGGAGGUGUCUUGAGAUUAUCAUCCGCUGAGGGUGGAAGGGGAGUGAGCACACACUCGGGAGGUGUCUUGAGAUUAUCAUCCGCUGAGGGUGGAAGGGGAGUGAGCAGACACUCGGGAGGUGUCUUGAGGCUCAGGGAGUUAUCAGUUAUAGAAUGUUGUUGAGUUGGAGGAGGUGGCUGGUGGCCCAUCCUGU
rnacentral:lncRNA from 1 species